rnacentral:tRNA from 1 species
GCCCUUGUAGUCCAAUGGAUAAGACACCUCCCUCCGGAGGAGGCAAUGGCUGUUCGACUCAGCCCAAGGGCACCA